rnacentral:piRNA from 1 species
UGGUACAACAACCGGGUGAGGUGUGCCAUA